rnacentral:rRNA from 1 species
UACGAAGGGGGCAAGCGUUGUUCGGAAUUACUGGGCGUAAAGGGCGCGUAGGCGGCUUACCAAGUCAGGCGUGAAAUUCCCGGGCUCAACCUGGGGGCUGCGCUCGAUACUGGUGAGCUUGAAUGCGGGAGAGGAUAGUGGAAUUCCCAGUGUAGAGGUGAAAUUCGUAGAUAUUGGGAAGAACACCGGUGGCGAAGGCGGCUAUCUGGCCCGUAAUUGACGCUGAGGCGCGAAAGCGUGGGGAGCAAACAGG